UACGAAGGGGGCUAGCGUUGCUCGGAAUUACUGGGCGUAAAGGGCGCGUAGGCGGCCCUGUAAGUCAGGCGUGAAAUUCCUGGGCUUAACCUGGGGGCUGCGCUUGAGACUGCGGGGCUGGAGGUCAGAAGAGGGUCGUGGAAUUCCCAGUGUAGAGGUGAAAUUCGUAGAUAUUCGGAAGAACACCAGUGGCGAAGGCGGCUCACUGGACGACUGUUGACGCUCAGGCACGAAAGCGUGGGGAGCAAACAGG
rnacentral:rRNA from 1 species